CAGGGAGCCGAAAGGCUGCUUAACACCAUUGCGAACCAAUCCUUAGGCGUUGCUUCGGCGGGCGGCCCCAGCCCGGGGUCCCAGCACCUCCCCCUCUCGGGGGAGGGGCGCCCGCCGGAGGUACCAAACUCUCAAGUAUCUUAGUGGCAUCUCUGAGUAGACAAGCAAAUAAGUUA
rnacentral:misc_RNA from 1 species